ensembl:lncRNA uncharacterized LOC110075047
CAACAAGCUCUUGUGACUAAUUGCCUCCCACCAUCCUUACAACCACAAUAUCUGAAUGCAUACGAUUGUGUGGGUUACGCCUCAGCCAGCACAGCUAUAAUUCUGCUGACAAGCUCGUUUCCUCCACUAUGAGGCGACCACUUUCAUGCAGAUACAGAACCUAGGAGAGGUGCUCCUACAGAAUGUCCUGGCUGCUUGCUAUCUAUUUUCUCCUCCUUUUUCCUGGAGCUCCUGUCUCAAAAGCCAGAGAGGAGCUACCUGUUAUCAUUGCUGAGGAAGGGGAGACGACCAAUGUCACCUGCAAGUUUCAGCAUCCAAUCAAUAGGGCCUUGCAGUUGAAUCGAAUCCUUAGGAGGGCCAUGCAAGUGUUACAUGUUUCAGUGUGGGAAAAGAGAAAGACUGAGGCCCCUGAAUAUGCAAAUCGCACCGAAUACUUUGAGAUGGACAACAUGGUGACGAUAAUGCUGCGACAAGUCAAGCAGGAUGAUAGUGAUGUGUAUAUGUGUGAGGGACGUUUUCUAGAAGAGGGGGAGCCCAAGGAUAUAAACAGCAGCAGUAUCAUGUUGGCAGUAAAAGCAGCCUCAGAUAACAAGCUAAGAAACAGUUCAUCAUCUCUCUGGAUGCUGGGCGCCCUGAUCAUCCAGUCGCUUCUCCUGGUUGCUGUGCUGGCAUAUUGUAUCCUGUCCCCUAAAAAUAACAAGAAAUUUUGCAAAAAGAGCAAGGAAAAAGAAGCACAAAAUACGGUCUACGAAGACAUGUCUUGCAGCCUGAGGCAAGAGUCCCUGCCUGGAACAAAUCUGUACUAUACCUAAUCUACAGUUAGUUUUGCUGAAGGCGGCUAAAAUUUGGAUUCACUUAUAUAAUUGUCGAAGUAUCUGCAACUCAUUUUGAAACCCUGUCAAAAUGUGUACAUGGAGUACAGGAUGUUGCAUUUAGCUCAUAUUGUUUGGUUAAAAGUUGGUACUUGAACCCCAAGUUCUGAAUUCAAAUUUGAAUUUUUGAAAAAUGCACAUGUUUCUAAUUGCUUCUGAUGAUGCUUCUAAUUGCCUCUGAGCUCUGAGGUGGCUUGAAUCAUCUCCAUAUGGAAAAGGCUUCAAGAAGCCAUUGCCUCUUUGUACAGUCCACAACACCACUAUAGCCCUAUAUUUUAGCUUCAUGUUUUAACCUAUGAUGUUUCAUGGCAUUGAGGUUUUAAAAUGUAAGAGGAACAGUUAGUUAUAUGAGCAAAACAGUUAACAUAUCCAAACUGUAGCAUUUCCACGAUGAAUUUCACAACUUUUUAUCAGUAGUUGCAACUGAAGGAGGUGCAAAUCUUACUAUUGGAAUGCCACUAGAAGCUAUUAAAGUUGAAUGGCUUACCAAAAAUAUGUCAAAAAGUUGUUAUGUUUAGAAUUUUGCACAUAUGUUUUAGGGGUUAUGGGAGUUAUAAUUUCCUAUGAAAUCAUUUGUGUACUGUCCUGUAAUAAUAGAUAAUGUGGAAGUAAUUGGAAUGGACAGUUAAGUGUGCUUAGACAAUAAUAUAUCUUACAAUAAUUGUACAAUUAUAUACUUGUGACCAGGUGAACAAGCAGGAAAAGGUAUGAAAUUUCAAGAGCUUGGAAAGUUAGAUCUGAAAAUUAUUUUUGUUGUUGUUGAUAAUGGUUAGAAAUAGGAGACUGAUUUUUAAUAUUUAAACCUAAAACCACAUUUAACUCAUGGAAUUCACAUUGUUAAUCCAUUAAUGAAACCAUUAAUUUUGAAAUAAACAAUGGAGUUUACAGAGAAUGGUGUGUAGG